UACAGGGGGGGCAAGCGUUGUUCGGAAUUACUGGGCGUAAAGGGCCAGUAGGCGGCCAACUAAGUCCGACGUGAAAUCCCCAGGCUUAACCUGGGAACUGCGUCGGAUACUGGAUGGCUUGAAUUCGGGAGAGGGAUGCAGAAUUCCAGGUGUAGCGGUGAAAUGCGCAGAUAUCGGGAAGAACACCCGUGGCGAAGGCGGCUCUCUGGAACGCAACUGACGCUGAGACGCGAAAGCGUGGGGAGCAAACAGG
rnacentral:rRNA from 1 species